rnacentral:rRNA from 1 species
ACGACCCUAGGUCAGGCGGGAUCACCCGCUGAGUUUAAGUGUAUCAAUAAGCAGAGGAAAAGAAACUUACCAGGAUUCCCCUAGUAACGGUAAGCGAAUCGAGAAGAGCCCAGCUUGAGAAUCGGGUGCCCCGACGUUCGAAUUGUAGUCUGGAGAAGUGUCCUCAGCGGCGGAUCGGGCCCAAGUCCCCUAAAAAAGGGCACCAAAGAGGGUGAGAGCCCCGUUGUGCCCGGACCUUGUCGCACCAUGAGGCGCUGUCCACAAGUCAGGUUGUUUGGGAAUGCAGCCCCAAUCGGGUGAUAAAUUCUGUCCAAGGCUAAAUACGGGCGAGAGACCGAUAGCAAACAAGUACCACAAGGGAAAGAUGAAAAGGACUUUGAAAAUAGAGUCAAAGAGUGCUUGAAAUUGUCGGAAGGGAAGCGGAUGGGGGCCGAUGAUGCGCCCCGAUCGGAUGUGGAACGGUGAGAGCCGAUUCAUCGAUCGGAUUGGGGCAUGGAUCGACACGGGUCACGGCAGUGACCCAAGCCCGGGCUUUCAAUGUGCCCGCAGAGAUGUGUUCACCACGAUCGUGGAAUGUAGCACGCACCAUCUCGACGUGCCCCGACACCAGCAUGCUCCAGGCUUCGGCCUGCAGGCUUCCCAUCUGACCCGUCUUGAAACCCAGACCAAGGUGUCUGACAUGCGUGCGAGUCAACGGGCCAGGAAACCUGUAAGGCACAAGGAAGCUGAUUGGCGGGAUCCCUGUGGGUGCACUACCGAUCGACCUUGAUCUUUUGAGAAGGGUUCGAGUGCGAGCAUGCCAGUCGAGACUCGAAAGGUGGUGAACUAUGCCUGAGUGGGGUAAAGCCAGAGGAAACUCUGAUGGAGGCCCACAGUGAUACUGACGUGCAACUCGUUCGUCUGACUUGGGUAUAGGGGCGAAAGACUAAUCGAACCGUCUAGUAGCUGGUUCCCUCCGAAGUUUCCCUCAAGAUAGUUGGAGCCCCGUCGAGUUCUAUCGGGUAAAGCCAAUGACUAGAGGCAUCAGGGGUGCAACCCUCGACCUAUUCUCAAACUUUAAGUAGGUAGGAUGGUGCGACUGCUUUGUUGAGCCGUGCCACGGAAUCGAGAGCUCCAAGUGGGCCAUUUUUGGUAAGCAAAACUGGCGAUGCGGGAUGAACCAAAAGUCGGGUUAUAGUGCCCAACUGCGCACUAACCAGGAACCCACAAAGGGUGUUGGUCGAUUAAGAUAGCAGAACGGUGGUCAUGGAAGUCAAAAUCUGCUAAGAGUGUUAACAACUCACCUGCGAAUCAACAAGCCCCGAAAAUGGAUGACGCUUAAGCGCAUGACCUAUACCGAUCGUUGGGCAGAGCCAGGCCCCGAUGAGUAGGAAGGCAUGACGGUUGCCGAAAAACUCGAGGCGCGAAGCCCAGGCGGAGUGACCGUCAAUGCAGAUCUUGGUGGUAGUAGAAAAUAUUCAAAUGACAACUUUGAAGGCCGAAAAGGGAAAGGUUCCAUGUGAACGACACUUGACAUGGGUUAGUCGAUCUUAAGAGACGGGGAAGCCCGUCCGAUAGCACGUCCCGCACGAGCUUCAAAAGGGAAUCGGGUUAAAUUCUGAAUCGGGAUACGAUGGCUGACGGCAACGUAGGGAGUCUGAGACGUCGACGGGGGCCUCAGAAAGAGUUAUCUUUUUUGUUUAACGACCUGCCCACCCUAAAAAUGGCUUAGUCGGAGGUAAGGUCCAGCGACCGAAAGAGCACCACACACCGCAUGGUGUCCGGUGCGCCCCCGAUGGCCCUUGAAAAUCUAGAGGAUCGAGUGCCAUCUGUGCCCGGUCGUACUCAUAACCGCAUCAGCUCUCCAAGGUGAACAGCCUCUGGUCGAUGGAACAAUGUAGGCAAGGGAAGUCGAGAAAAUGGAUCCGUAACCUCAGGAAAAGGAUUGGCUCUGAGGGCUAGGCAUGGGGGUCCCAGUCCCGAACCUGUCAGCUAUCGGUGCACUACUCGAGCUGCUCCUGCUGUGAGAACGGGUUGCCACGUGCCGAUCGGGGGACAGACUAGGAACGGCUCCCUCGAAGGCCUUCCCCAGGUGAUGAACAGUCGACUCAAAACUAGUACGGACAAGGGGAAUUCGACUGUUGAAUUAAAACAAAGCAUUGCGAUGGUCCUUGCGGAUUCUCACGCAAUGUGAUUUCUGCCCAGUGCUUUGAAUGUCAAAGUGAAGAAAUUCAACCAAGCGUGGGUAAACGGCGGGAGUAACUAUGACUUUCCUAAGGUAGCCAAAUGCCUCGUCAUCUAAUUAGUGACGCGCAUGAAUGGAUUAACAAGAUUCCCAUUGUCCCUGUCUACUAUCUAGCGAAACCACAGCCAAAGGAAUGGGCUUGGCGAAAUUAACGGGGAAAGAAGAACCUGUUGAGCUUGACUCUAGUCUGACUUUGUGAAAUGACUUGAGACAUGUAGGAUAAGUGGGAGCCCCAGGAGAAAUUGAAAUACCACUUACUUUUAACAUUAUUUUACUUAUUCCCUGAAUCGGAGGCGGGGCACGACCCUUUCUUUUGGACCCAAGGUCGACCUCGAUCGGUCAAUCCGGGCGGAAGACAUUGUCAGGUGGGGAGUUUGGCUGGGGUGGCACAUCUGUUAAAAGAUAACGCAAGUGUCCUAAGAUGAGCUCAACGAGAACAGAAAAUCUCGUGUGGAACAAAAGGGUAAAAGCUCGUUUGAUUCUGAUUUCCAGUACGAAUACAAACUGUGAAAGUAUGGCCUAUCGAUCCUUUAGACCUUCGGGAUUUGAAGCUAGAGGUGUCAGAAAAGUUACCACAGGGAUAACUGGCUUGUGGCAGCCAAGCGUUCAUAGCGACGUUACUUUUUGAUCCUUCGAUGUCGGCUCUUCCUAUCAUUGUGAAGCAGAAUUCACCAAGUGUUGGAUUGUUCACCCACCAAUAGGGAACGUGAGCUAGGUUUAGACCGUCAUGAGACAGGUUAGUUUUACCCUACUGAUGGCGGUGUCACAAUAGUAAUUCAACCUAGUACGAGAAGAACCGUUGAUUCAGACAAUUGGUUAUCGCGCUUGGUUGAAAAGCCAGUGGCGCGAAGCUACUGUGCGUUGGAUUAUGACUGAAUGCCUCUAAGUCAAAAUCCGGGCUAGAAGCGAUCCGCGCACCCGUCGCCCGAUUGUUGACCCGCAGUAGGGGCCCAUGGCCCCCAAAGGCACGUGUCGUAGGUGUAGCCCCCACGGUGGACGAGCCACGUGAGCCUCCUUAGAGCUCAAUUCCCACCGAACGGUAGGUAGAAUC